GGACUACCAGGGUAUCUAAUCCCGUUUGCUCCCCUGGCUUUCGUGUCUCAGCGUCAGCACACCCCCAGCGAGCUGUUUUCACCAUUGGCGUUCCAAAUGAUAUCUACGCAUUUCACCGCUCCACCAUUUGUUCCGCUCGCCCCUAGGUGGCUCAAGACCUCCAGUAUACCAAGCAGUUCCACGGUUGAGCCGUGGGAUUUCACAAGGUACUUAGAGAUCCGCCUACACACGCUUUAAGCCCAGUGAUUCCGCCUAACGCUCGGCACCUCUGUCUUACCGCGGCUGCUGGCAC
rnacentral:rRNA from 1 species